rnacentral:misc_RNA from 1 species
AAAGUCGUAACAAGGUUUCCGUAGGUGAACCUGCGGAAGGAUCAUUACCGAGAUUUUUCACUUUUUAUUUUUUAAUUAGUGAAUCUCCCACCCUUUGUGUUACCAAAUUUUUAUACUUUGGUGAAGCGUCUUGGAUUUUGGUAACAAAAUACAAGCCAUCGACUUCUUGUUUUUACAAAAGUGGAUGAGUCUUUGCCAAAGGAACCAAACCUUAACUCUUAUUGUCAUUAAUUGUCUGAGUUUAUAAUUUAAAUAAACAAAACUUUCAACAACGGAUCUCUUGGUUCUG